rnacentral:rRNA from 1 species
GACGAACGCUGGCGGCGUGCCUAAUACAUGCAAGUCGAACGCAGUGGGGACUGGUGAGUAACACGUGGGUAACCUCCCAUCAGAGGGGAUAACACUGGGAAACAGGUGCUAAACCGAUACUGAUGGAUGGACCCGCGGUGAAUGAGCUAGUUGGAGGGGUACCGGCGCACCAGGGCCACGAUGGAUAGCCGACCGGAGAGGGUGAUCUGCCAAACUGGGACGGAGACACGAACCAGACUCCUACGGGAGGCGGCAGUAGGGAAUCUUAGGCAAUGGACGAAAGUCUGACCGAGCAACGCCGCGUGAGUGAAGAAGGUUUUCGGAUCGUAAAACUCUGUUGUUAGAGAAGCGGUAUCUAACCAGAAAGCCACGGCUAACUACGUGCCAGCAGCCGCGGUAAUUC